AUUUGUUUCAUUUUGUGUGAUACAGAUCUUCCCUUGAGUCAAGGACAGAAGAUAAAGGAGGAAAGUUUGACAUUUUGACUUCAGUCUGGAAUGCAGAUUGAAAAGGAUGCCAUUCAGAGGGACGUGGACAAGCUUUAGAUGUCGGCCCAUGCCAACCUCAUGAAGCUCAACAAGGCUAAGUGACAGUUUCAGAACAAACUGGGAUUUCUCUGAAAGCCAAAGGCCAAGAAAAAAGGAUUAAAUCACCAUAUUACAAAGCCAUAGUAUCUAGGUUGGAGGUCUUCAUGGAUUAAAAGGGGAUGUAUUUCCCCCCCUUGGAAGCAGGAAGCUUGUUGCUCUCAAUCACGUCAUGCUCUCUACAAGAUUAAGCACAGAACUCUCAACCCACGUACCCAAGGAGCACAAGUGCGUUGUUUUUUUUUCUAUUCCAUUACGGACUGUGUGAUCUUAGAGGUGCCAAAACCAAUUACUUUCCACACUAGUGACAAGUGGGACAUUGCAGAAGUGUAAGCGUAUAUGUAUUUAUAAGGCUUCCCUGGUUCGGGUACUGUGUAGACACUCAAUUGUCAGAAUCCAUUUCAGACCAGCUCUGAGCUGUAUUUCUGCCUGGAUCUCAUCCAUACAUUGGACGCAAAACUCCUUCAUUUUUGCUAGGACCUCUGUUGCUUGCUGCUCUCCCACAUUCCCCAGGAGUGUUUCCCAGCUGUUCAGAAACAAGGUACCACUUCCUGCUGAACUGACCUUGGUAAAAAAUAUCUUCUGAGAAAAAAUGAGUUGCUCAGCUCCAAUGAAUGCCACAGUCUGAAACUUUAUUGCAUUUAGGAAGUGGCAGGAUUUUGGAAGGAAAGUAUCUUUUGUUGGUGUGUGGUUGCAGCUUAAUGUGCUACGCCUGGAAAUAAAACACUGAGGGAUGAUUUCUUUCCACUGUCUCAUUGAGAAAGAUGAGAAUUUGAAAAAGCUAAAGACAAUACAGAGAUUAGGCUGCUGUUGUUUCAGCUCAGCAGCAGACGUUGAAGCUUUGGCUGGAAGCCCAUUGACAGGACCAGAUGUUUUAGUCUUGUGCUUCCUUUGCAAUGGGAAAUAAUGAAAAUCGAGCCGCAUAAAUGAAAGGGGAUUUUUUGGAGUUGUUUUUGUGUUGUUGUGAUUCAUAAGAAAAUCUAUUUUCUGUGGGUCCAGAACAGCAGAGCAGGAGCUUGUAAAGAAGCUGUUAAUGGAGUUUCACAAGGUGUCUUCACAUCUUGUUUUCAUUUCUCGGGUAUCAUCUUUAGUAGCUUUAGUAUCUUGAAAGACCUCCAGGAAACAAUUUUUCAAAGGCACGUGC